CCGCACGAGCGCACCCUUGUCCUUAGUUACCAGCAUUAAGUUGGGUACUUUAANGAGACUGCCGGUGACAAACCGGAGGAAGGUGGGGACGACGUCAAGUCAUCAUGGCCCUUACGUGCAGGGCUACACACGUGCUACAAUGGCAUAUACAGAGGGAAGCGAGACAGCAAUGUGGAGCGGACCCCUUAAAGUAUGUCGUAGUCCGGAUCGGAGUCUGCAACUCGACUCCGUGAAGUCGGAAUCGCUAGUAAUCGCAGGUCAGAAUACUGCGGUGAAUACGUUCCCGGGCCUUGUACACACCGCCCGUCACACCAUGGGAGUGGGAUGCAAAAGAAGUGGCUAGUUUAACCUUCGGGAGAACGGUCACCACUUUGUGUUUCAUGACUGGGGUGAAGUCGUAACAAGGUAACCCUAGGGGAACCUGGGGUUGGAUCACCUCCUU
rnacentral:rRNA from 1 species